rnacentral:rRNA from 7 species
ACGACUCUCGACAACGGAUAUCCCGGCUCUCGCAUCGAUGAAGAACGUAGCGAAAUGCGAUACUUGGUGUGAAUUGCAGAAUCCCGUGAACCAUCGAGUCUUUGAACGCAAGUUGCGCCCGAAGCCUAUGGCUGAGGGCACGUCUGCCUGGGUGUCACGC